AAUUUUGCGCAAUGGGGGCAACCCUGACGCAGCAACGCCGCGUGUGGGAAGAAGGCUUUCGGGUUGUAAACCACUUUUGUAAGGGACGAAGGCCCUUCGGCUAAUAACCGAGGGGGAUGACGGUACCUUGCGAAUAAGCCACGGCUAACUCUGUGCCAGCAGCCGCGGUAAGACAGGGGUGGCAAGCGUUGUUCGGAGUAACUGGGCGUAAAGGGUCUGUAGGUGGUUUUUCAAGUCUUUGGUAAAACGCCGUGGCUCAACCAUGGUUUGGCCAAGGAGACUGGGAGACUGGAGGCUGGGAGAGGGAAGCGGAAUUUCUGGUGUAGCGGUGAAAUGCGUAGAGAUCAGAAAGAAGGCCGGUGGCGAAGGCGGCUUCCUGGAACAGACCUGACACUGAGAGACGAAAGCGUGGGGAGCAA
rnacentral:rRNA from 1 species